rnacentral:rRNA from 1 species
CAGGACGCUAGCUUUAUGCCUUAACUUGCUUUCGUCCGGUGCACGGACUUCUUUCUCUUGGCUGGUGGCCGGCGGGUGGGUGAUGUAUGUCAGCGAGCCCGCCUGCGGGGGGUAACUACCCGCAGGCGUACCUACUACCGCCCGGCCCCUACCGGGGAAACCAGGUGAUCGAACUACCUUGCACUAUUGGACCGACCGACCCCGAAUUAAUUAGCUGGUGGGUGAACUGCUCGCUCACCCGACCAUCCAUACCUGGUUGGACAGGAAGGCCGACCACCCUGGGUGUGACUGAGGCCCCGUACUCCUUCCGGAGGAAGCCGUGGGUGAUUUUGAUUAAUGGGGGAAACCCUGCUCCAUCCAUCCCGCGUGUGUGAGGAAAGACUGCCUUUUGUAUAUAACUUAUGUUAGGCAAGAAGGAACGCGGGUAGAUACCCCGCGUAACUGAUUGACCUUACACAAUAAACACCCGCUAACUACGUGCCAGCCGCCACGGUCAUACAUACGGAGGAAGCGUUCAUCACAAUUACUGACUGGACAUAAUGCGCACGCGGGUUCGGAAAUAAAGAUGUAUAAUCACACACCUUAACUUUUGGAACUGCCUGUUUAACUACCUAGCUAGAUAGAGUCAUAUGGAGGUGGGAAAUACGCGUGUAUCAAUGAAAUGACAUACAUAUACAGAGGAACGACUAUGGCUGACGCAGCCUCCUCGGAUAACAAUGAACG